rnacentral:rRNA from 1 species
UUGAACGCUGGCGGUAUGCUUAACACAUGCAAGUCGAACGGAAACGAUACUAGCUUGCUAGUAGGCGUCGAGUGGCGGACGGGUGAGUAACGCGUAGGAAUCUGCCUGAUAGUGGGGGAUAGCCCGAAGAAAUUCGGAUUAAUACCGCAUAAUCUAUUCGUAGUAAAGUGGGGGACUUUCGAGCCUCACGCUAUCAGAUGAGCCUGCGUAAGAUUAGCUUGUUGGUAGGGUAAAAGCCUACCAAGGCGACGAUCUUUAGCUGGUCUGAGAGGAUGAUCAGCCACAUCGGGACUGAGACACGGCCCGAACUCCUACGGGAGGCAGCAGUGGGGAAUAUUGGACAAUGGGGGCAACCCUGAUCCAGCAAUACCGCGUGUGUGAAGAAGGCCUGAGGGUUGUAAAGCACUUUCAAUUGUGAAGAAAAGUUAGCGGUUAAUAACCGUUAGCCUUGACGUUAACUUUAGAAGAAGCACCGGCUAACUCCGUGCCAGCAGCCGCGGUAAUACGGAGGGUGCAAGCGUUAAUCGGAAUUACUGGGCGUAAAGCGUGCGUAGGCGGUUUAUUAAGUCAGAUGUGAAAGCCCCGGGCUUAACCUGGGAACUGCAUUUGAAACUGGUCAACUAGAGUAUGGUAGAGGAAAGUGGAAUUUCUGGUGUAGCGGUGAAAUGCGUAGAUAUCAGAAGGAACAUCAAUGGCGAAAGGCAGCUUUCUGGACCAAUACUGACGCUGAGGUACGAAAGCGUGGGUAGCAAACAGGAUUAGAUACCCUGGUAGUCCACGCCGUAAACGAUGAUAACUAGCCGUUGGGGGGAUUUACCCUUUAGUGGCGAAGCUAACGCGUUAAGUUAUCCGCCUGGGGAGUACGGCCGCAAGGUUAAAACUCAAAGGAAUUGACGGGGACCCGCACAAGCGGUGGAGCAUGUGGUUUAAUUCGAUGCAACGCGAAGAACCUUACCUGGUCUUGACAUCCUGCGAACUUUCUAGAAAUAGAUUGGUGCCUUCGGGAACGCAGUGACAGGUGCUGCAUGGCUGUCGUCAGCUCGUGUCGUGAGAUGUUGGGUUAAGUCCCGUAACGAGCGCAACCCCUAUCCUUAUUUGCCAGCACAUCAUGGUGGGAACUAUAAGGAGACUGCCGGUGAUAAACCGGAGGAAGGCGGGGACGACGUCAAGUCAUCAUGGCCCUUACGACCAGGGCUACACACGUGCUACAAUGGGAAGGACAAAGAGCCGCGAAGCCGCGAGGUGUAGCUAAUCUCAUAAACCUUUUCGUAGUCCGGAUUGGAGUCUGCAACUCGACUCCAUGAAGUCGGAAUCGCUAGUAAUCGUAGAUCAGAAUGCUACGGUGAAUACGUUCCCGGGUCUUGUACUCACCGC